GUGCACAGUUUAAUGGAACACGAAGUACGGACAUCCUAAAUCUAAUCGAUAUGCGCAUGCCGAGCAGUUACACACUGGGGCAUAGCCAACGCAAACAAAUAAAACUAUUAAUGUUGCUCAAAAUUUUAGAAAGCAAUAUAUUUUUACAAAGCUUUCGAAAGUGUUAAAAUGGCCGAGGAGUGGGAUCCUACAGAGAUUGCUAAAUUAAGGGGAUGGAGAAAAACUUUCAAUACUAUCACGGUUGACGGACGCUUUAAUAUUGCCAUGUUAACUUUUGGAACAAUAUUUGGAGGAAUGGCUUUGUAUAAAUUGAAAAACAGAUCUAAAGAUAAAUUAAAUCCGACCAAUUCUUAAAAAAGAAAAUGAAUUAGUUCUUUGUUAUUUAUUUAGACAAUUUUUAAUUAAAUUUA